rnacentral:rRNA from 1 species
UACGUAGGGUGCAAGCGUUGUCCGGAAUUAUUGGGCGUAAAGAGCUCGUAGGCGGUUUGUUGCGUCGGCUGUGAAAUCCCGAGGCUCAACCUCGGGUCUGCAGUCGAUACGAGCAAACUAGAGUGUUGCAGGGGAGACUGGAAUUCCUGGUGUAGCGGUGAAAUGCGCAGAGUAUCAGGAGGAACACCGGUGGCGAAGGCGGGUCUCUGGGCAACAACUGACGCUGGAGGAGCGAAAGCGUGGGGAGCGAACAGG